GACGAACGCUGGCGGCGUGCCUAAUACAUGCAAGUAGAACGCUGAAGGCGGAGCUUGCUCUUCUGGAUGAGUUGCGAACGGGUGAGUAACGCGUAGGUAACCUGCCUGGUAGCGGGGGAUAACUAUUGGAAACGAUAGCUAAUACCGCAUAACAGCAGAUGUUGCAUGACAUUUGCUUAAAAGGUGCAGUUGCACCACUACCAGCUGGACCUGCGUUGUAUUAGCUAGUGGGUGGGGUAACGCCUCACCAAGGCGACGAUACAGAGCCGACCGGAGAGGGGGAGCGGCCACCCUGGGACGGAGACACGGCCCAGAGGCCUACGGGAGGCAGCAGUAGGGAAACUUCGGCAAUGGACGGAAGUCUGACCGAGCAAGGCCGCGUGAGGGAAGAAGGUUUUCGGAUCGUAAAGCUCUGUUGUAAGAGAAGAACGAGUGUGAGAGUGGAAAGUUCACACUGUGACGGUAUCUGACCAGAAAGGGACGGCUAACUACGUG
rnacentral:rRNA from 1 species